UACGUAGGGUGCGAGCGUUAAUCGGAAUUACUGGGCGUACAGCGUGCGCAGGCGGUUAUGUAAGACAGUUGUGAAAUCCCCGGGCUCAACCUGGGAACUGCAUCUGUGACUGCAUAGCUAGAGUACGGUAGAGGGGGAUGGAAUUCCGCGUGUAGCAGUGAAAUGCGUAGAUAUGCGGAGGAACACCGAUGGCGAAGGCAAUCCCCUGGACCUGUACUGACGCUCAUGCACGAAAGCGUGGGGAGCAAACAGG
rnacentral:rRNA from 1 species